AUAAAAAAAUAUAUUGUGAAUGCUCUAAGAACACAAAAUAUAUUGACAUCAUAUGCAGAAAGCCAUAAUCUAGGAACAAGUGUAUUUAAAAUCAAAAUAUCAAAGUAUAUUGUAACAAAUUAGAAAACCGGCCACCUGCAAAAUGGCGUACUCGUAACGCAAUCAAGACCUAUAUUAUACACAGCCUUCUUUUGUUCCGAAGAAAAAACGAAUGAUUCACUACCCGACAUAUAACCAAGUGAUUUACAACAAUUCCAGUUUGGUCACUAAUUUUGGUCAUCAACUUCCCUCUUUCUGCUUCUACCAUCUUAUACAUCAACUCGAGACCCAUGACGCGAAAAAAUGAACUUACGGCCUCUUUGCUAACGUCUUCAUCAUACCCUUAACGAUCUUCCCAAACCACAUCAAGUUCAUGGCACCAAGCACCGAUGGAACCAUAAAUACCAAAAGAACCCCGAUUUCAUGCAUCUGUAUCACCUGAAGCGUCUUAAGGGGUGUUUGGAUGCGUAUUUUGAAAAUUUCAAGGUAAUACAAGGAGGUGUAAUAAUUGGACAAUCAGUUAUUUAA
rnacentral:lncRNA from 1 species